UACAAGAGAGGAUGGGGGCAAGCUGAGAGUACAGUUUCUCAUGUAAGGGAUGGCAUAAAUUCUGAGUGCAAAUCUUUCCUGCAAGUUAACAUUUCAGAACAGCAUUAUCAAACCAAGACACAAAUCCAAUUAAGCAGUUGUGAUGCCAAAAUGUGCGCUCCUGGCGAAAUGCAUCAUGCAGCACGUCAAGGGCAAUGAAGAUCUUUACCAUCCUGCUGGGUCAUUGUCUCCCUGAUGCAGAGAGAAGAGAGCUCCCUACUGAUCAUCAGCAUCACUUCCUGCACUAUCUAGGCUUUCCUUGGAGGUCCUUCAUCCACAUACUGGUCAAGCAAGAUUCUGCCUAGAGUCUGAAAUCUGCUACAAUCAUAAUUUCAAUGCAUUAAACCUUUUAAAUGGACUACUCAUGAGGAGUUAUACUUGUGUAAAAUAAAUGGAAUACAUUUCCUUUGUACCAAAUAAGAGUUCAAUACCCAAGACUAGAAGACUGAUUUGAAAAGCUCAACUUGGUGUUCUGUUUGUAACUUAAGGAAAAUUCCAGAUAUUUUUUAUCAGGACGCUUAUGGCAUGUGUACACUGCAGCGUUAUUUCAAAAUAACAAAGUGCAUGUCUACACAGCAAGCCAUUAUUUCUUACUUUGACAUCUGUAACCCUCAUUUCAAGAAGAGUAAGGGAAGUCAAGGGAAGAGUGUUCUUCCUUUGACUUCCUGCUGUGUAGACCACGCCAAAAGCUGAACCAAGCUAUUUCAACUUCAGCUAUGCAAUUGAUGUAGUUGAAGUUACAUAUUUUAUUCAACUUUUGCCCAGCAAUGUAGACGUGCCCUUAAGGGUUGAGACUGAUUAGAAGAGGAACUGGUUUGGUGCCACUCAUACACUGUGUUAACCUCAGUAAUGGCUGAGAGAAUUUGUUAUUGAAUCUGAAGUCUCUCAACUCUGUCUUACUGAUUUAAAUCGGGUUCAGAUUGAUGAUGACUGCAAGUAGUUACCUCUGAUGCCAUGUAUAAUAUGAACUACUUGUUUUACCCCAAAUCUCAUUGCUCUAAAAUAGACUGCAGAAAAAAUUGACUAACACUUUUUUUUUAUUUUAUGUGCCAUACUAUAAACGUAUAAUCACAACAUUCUGCAUAAUGGCACUUACUGGUAAACUUUGUCAUUCCAACCUAUUUUGUCUGAAAAAGACCACAGGUCUAUGAACACUGGCAUACAGCAACUCCAAAUUUUGGAUAGUGUGUGUGUUUUGAAAUUCAGAUUUGAAUUUGUGGUGCAGGUUCAUCUCUAUUGUCUCUUCUUUAAGCAGAAAAGGGUACUGAAGAUACUACAGAGCCAGGGAAAAUACCUCUAUAUUUGCCUGUGAGUAAAUCAUGAGCUUUGUGUAACCUCAGCAUAUGCUUUCUGUUCGUAAUCCAUGAGGGAUAUAUGCAUUUUUAUAGCAGUUCAGUGAAUCCAAACAUUUGACCAGGUAGAAUUAUUGGAGAUGUCAGAAGAAAAGAUGUAUUUGCUGUUCCUUCUUUCACCUCAUUCCAGAACAUAAAACAUUGUAAAUAAAAUCUGAUCUUGGCAAAUCUAACUGGAAGAGUCAGAAUCAAGUUGUCAAAGUAAUAAACAGUCCAAUACAACUGACAAUUCUCAUGGUUAGGACAUAGUUAGUAUACAUGUACAUCAGCUGUGCAAAAUGAUAGCAGGAGACUAGUGCUGGCUUCAGAAAAAGGAAGAAUUAAAUUUUGUGAUUCCCUGUACUUUGUAAAACUGCCUAAUGUUAAUCUUCAAAAGGAUAUCUUUUGGGGGGAUUUUUCCUGUCUAUUUUUCUCCUCAAGUUUGGGACAGUUCUAGUCUACAUUUAUUACUCCAUUCUGGGCUGUUGGUAGAAGAGAGAGAGACUAUAGCUUCAAAGAUACUGAUUUGUCUUUGAUGGAAACUGCAUUUGUGACUUGAAAUAGUUCAAGAGUCUUGUAUCUAUUUGUUUCUUUGUCAUUCAAAUAUCAGACUACAAAAUAAACACAGAUUUUUCCAAAGUGGA